rnacentral:rRNA from 1 species
AUUGAACGCUGGCGGCAGGCCUAACACAUGCAAGUCGAACGAGUGGCGGAAGGGUGAGUAAUGUCUGGGAAACUGCCUGAUGGAGGGGGAUAACUACUGGAAACGGUAGCUAAUACCGCAUACCAUCGGAUGUGCCCAGAUGGGCUUAGCUAGUAGGUGGGGUAAAGGCUCAACUAGGCGACGAUCCCUAGCUGGUCGGAGAGGAUGACCAGCCACAAUGGAACUGAGACACGGCCCAGACGCCUACGGUAGGCAGCAUUGGGGAAUAUUGCACAAUGUGCGCAAGCCUGAUGCAGCCAUGCCGCGUGUAUGAAGAAGGCCUUCGGGUGGUAAAGUACUUUCAGCGGGGAGGCGUUACCCGCAGAAGAAGCACCGGCUAACUCCGUGCUAGCCGCCGCGGUAAUAC